GGCAGCGUUUUUUAACGACGCUUUUUUAACGUCAUUUUUUAAUAUUUAGCGGCGUUUUAAAAACGUCGCAUAUUUCUUCAACUAAAACCGGCACUGUUCUGUAGUAGAAACGCCUCCAAAUACGGUAGGCCUCACGCUCCGAUUUUGAAUGUGGGAUAAUUGUUAAAGCCUUUGUAAACCCUAAUUUUGAAUCCUCACGGCUUCAAAUCUCGCCUCUCUCUCAAUCUGAACCCUUAUCAUUCUCACGAUGUUGCUCCAGAGCGGUGUCAUCCUUCAGAGCGAUUUCGAUUUCGAAGCUCCACCACCACCACCGGCGAGGUAGCGAGCACAAUCGGCGAGCGAUUCCGAUUUCGAAUCUCCAGAGCGGCGUCUAGAUCUCUCUCUUCAUCUUUGAGAUUCAGAGAUUCAGAUCGGUCUCAGUGAUUUCAUCUCAGAGCUAUUUCGAUUUUGAAGUUCUCUCUGUCGAUUUCCAAACUCCAGCGAGGACUUUGCAAUUAUUUACGAUAGAUUCUUAUUUCAAGGAAUUGACAUUAAAGAAAUGCUUGUUGGUGCAUCAUUGAUGGAUGAGGCAAAUAGGACCACCGUGCCCAACUAUUCUCGUCUUCUCAAGCAACUGAAUAAUGGACUUUCUACAAUUGUGGGAAAUGCAUUUUCAUCUUCUUCACUUUCUUCAUCUUCUCAUUCUUCUCCUCCAUAUUUCUUUUUUCUGGCCUUGCAAGGAUGGUCCAUCUCUUUCUCGCUAUACAAAGUCAUGCAAUUCUUAGGUAUCUUGCUUGUGCAUUUCCUGGAGUAGUUGAUCACUGGUGUCUGAUCUAUUCAAAAGGUCAAAGAUUGAAUCAGUGUUGGAUUGGCAUCACUCUAAUUUACGCUGUGGUGCAGCUACUUAUGUUCUAAAUACUAUGCUUGCACCUGUGCUUGGCCUUCAAUUGAAUCCACAAGCUGCUGCUGAAGGUGAAAAACUAUUGUUUGCAUCACUUGCAAAGAUUGAAUCUUUUUGGUUGAAGGGGAAUGGUCGGUUUUUGCUAGGAAGCUCUCAGUAGUUCGAGUGGAGUCAGCGGAUGUUGAUUUUGUCUGGCAAUAGUGGCUAGAAGGUAUGAAACUGUCAUAUACGGGAUGAUAUAGUAUAUCACAGCAAGAGGGGGGUGUUAUUCAACAGAGUUACUGGUUUGUUAGAUUUCUUUUGUUUGUUUCUUUGUGUAGAUCAUACUGCCACUGUGCCAUGUUAGGCUUCUUUCAUAGUCUAUUGACAUAUUUGUGGAAGAAAAAGGGUAAACCACAAAAAAGUAAAAAUGCACUUAGUUUAUGAAUUAUGAUUGUUUGUCUUAGGUUUCUUCACCAAUUCUCAUUGUCAAGGGAGCAGGGAUUUAUGCUUGGACACACAAAAGCUGGAGAGUUCGAGAAGAGUUUGCACGUACAGUCACAUCAGCAAUUGGUCUUUUUGCAUCUACUGAGCUCCCUCUUCAGCGUGCUAUUCUUCCUCCUGAGAUGUAUACUCGGGCUGGGCCGCAGUUUCGUGAUGAACUUCAGCGUCAUCAUCUUCCCACAUCACUGGUGAGAUAAAACCUGCUAACCUUAAUCCCAAAAGGAGCAGUCCAAAAGCCAAGAAUUCCACUCGGGAGGUGUCUCUGUUUGGAGGUUUAUGUGCUUCAAUUUAAAACUUCACAAAUAUUUUGGUGGUUGUUGACAAAUUUAUGAAUUCAUAUGAAAAGGUCUUUCUCCAGAUCUUAUAUUUUGUUAUUGCCCAUUCCUACUUGGUAAGAUGCAUUGCAUUACUGUAUGCAUCCAGUACUUAAAUAUCUAAGACUAUUUUUACUAGUUAUAACUUUAAAUCUCCUAGAGCUACCAUACAACUUAAGUCUCUUAUUGAAUGAUAGGUUGUGGAUUCGCUUAGUAGUCAUCCCAUUGUUCAGCCAAUGCCACAUCAGCAACUAUCUCAUACAUUUUCAUCUCAAGAGGUUUACCUUUCAAAGAAAGAGAAGAACAAGAACAAGAACAAGAACAAGAACAAGAAGAACUAACAAGGUAAAAGUACCUACAUCACAAGUUUUUAAUUUCUGAACUUUCUAAAUCGAUUGGAUCUGUUGCUGCCUAUGCUUUCGAACUAGAUGGGAUUACUUACUCAUGCUGAAAAUUGACUCUUGGAGAUGAAAUAAUAUCGUUAUAUGCAGAAUUGUGAAUCUGGAAUAAAAACUGAUUAAUUAGAACUGCUGCUAGAAAUGAUACUUUUGGAGUGUUUGUUUCUCUUCUGAUGGUGAAUCACAGGUAGUAUGAACUUGCUGAUAUUGGCUUGUUUUAAAAUGGUAAAAGAUUUGCAUAGUGCUUCUUCCUAUUUUGGGACUCUUUUUUGGCUCCUUCACUCUGAUUUUUCCUCCUUUUUUUUAUUAUUUAUUUUUUAAAAUUUAUUGUACUGAUUGCUGCUAUGAACCUGGCAAACCUUUUAUUACUAGAUUCAUUUUGAAUUGUUGUGCUGUCAUUUUCUUUCUUCAUGUGAGCAUGUGGUAGAAGAUUUUGUUAUCUGCAUUUUGGUUAUUAUAUAUAGUCAAUUGAAUUUGGUGGUUGCUUGGAUGAUUUUCAUCAUCUAGUUCCUAAUUAUUUUUUUACUGUGUAACGGUCCUCUUGGAAAUGAUGACCAUUCCUUGGCAAGAGAUUGUCAUGACCAUGUUAAAGUGGCAAUAGUAUAUGACAGUGUGAUCUAUUCGUUGGCAAGAGAUUGUCAUGACGAUGACUAUUCCUUGGCAAGAGAUUGUCAUGACCAUAUUAUGCCAGUGAUUACAGGGUUUUUGGAGUUAAAAUUGAACUUUUGCAUGAAUAGAGUCAGUUUUUCAUUAAAUUUUCAACGAACUACCUUCCAGUGUGAUCUAGCAUCUUGUGUCUGUAUGAUUGACUUGGUAAACAUCAUGUUUACACUGCGCUUGAACCUUACAGGUGAUUGCUUUUAGUGAUGAGGAGGGAGUGAGAUUUCAAUCUACUUUCUUACUAAUUGGUUGUAACGCUGCUUGUUCUAAGUAAACUGACAAGCAGACUUUGUUCAGUGGUCUGACAUUGCAAAAUGUUCUAAAAGAGAACUCUAUAGAAAUUUCCGAGGAAAGCUUCUUUGAGCUAAAGUAUGAUCCGGAGUCUGUUUGGGGUUAUAUGGAGGUAUUCAGUCCAUGUUGAAUAUCCUGUCAAUUUGGGAAUGUUUGUUAAAAAAAUUUCAAAAAAAAUUAAACACUAGUUUGGUGGGGGAAAAAAAUGAAAAUAUCUUAAACACUAGUCAUUUUCAUAUGUUUUUCUCUUUUGUGCUAACGUUAUAUUGUAACUUCUAGGCAGUUCAUAUUAAUAUUUGGAAGAGUAUUGUAAUAUUUUUC